rnacentral:lncRNA from 1 species
UAGCUCCACGGUAACCUGAGAGAUGGCCUGGAGGCAGGGUGGCAUGUUGUUUUUAAAGUGAUACAAGAGACACAGUGGAGACCGUCCAAUGAGUGGCAUGGCUGCCAGGAUGCCAACUGGGACACUAAAGCCCUGGCAGUGGGGGCUGCCCAGCAGGGCUGGCCACUGGAAAUAAGAGAUGCAAAUUCAUCUUCUAUCAUAGCCAAAGAAGACCAACAAAGACCAACAGAGGCCAUGUCUCGCAUUCAGCUCCAACAGCAGGCAGUAGAUUUGUUACAGAGACUAAAACCCACCUUAUUGCCAAGUGACCCUCCUCUCACCAGCCUCCCCUGCUGCCACCCAAAUUCCUGCCACUGAACUACUCCUCAAAAUAAAACACAGCUGUAAAAUGCACACCUGUUUUGGAUUAGUUACAAUAAAUCAGGAUCUGUAUUUAUUUCAGUUCCCCAGACAGGUGAAGAACAAGCUGCGUUUAUAGCAAGCCAACUAGAAAGCAGAAGAAAAUUCCAGUCACGAGUUUUUGUUUUUCCUCUUAGGGCAAAGGAGGUUACACUUGAGGAGCCUAAAUUUCU